rnacentral:lncRNA from 1 species
GUCGACGCUCGCGCGCGGCGUCUGCUGCUGCGACGGCCGAGAAGGCCUCGGGGCUCGCGGGGCGCAAGACCAAAAGGAGAUGCUAUCCCCGCCCGCCUGCUCGCCUGCCGCUCCCCUUACCAACCAGGAUCCUUCGCUGCAGGGACACGCCAACAACCACCCAGGCGAUCAGCAACACGGCCACGACACCGCUGUGCCACCCGGCUGGCUCUGGUCUUCUUUGGCUUCGACGUCCUGACCGCGGCGUCCUGACGUCACGCGGCGGCCUUGCACCGCCUCCCUCGGCCCUGCACAGCCAAUGAACGCCACGAGCUGCGCUUGAGCCCGCCUUCCUGCCCACGCACUUACGCAUGAACAUUUUAAGGCAGACCGGAAGUCUGGGUGGGGACGGUGGCCCCGAGGAGACAAGCGUGGCCGCAUUAGCUCUUUCUGCCUCCCACGCAGCCUUAUUUUUUUUAUUGUUGUUUUCUUGUUGCUGUUGUUGUUGUUCUCGGAGACGGAGUCUUGCUCUUGCUCUGUCGUCGCCCACGAUAGAGUACAGUGGCGUGAUCUCUGCUCACUGCAACCUCCGCCUCCUGGGUUCAAACAAUUCUGCCUCAGCCUCCGGAGUAGCUGGGAUUACAGGCGCGCGCCACUAUGCCCGGCUAAUUUUUGUGUUUUUAGUAAAGACGGGGUUUCACCAUGUCGGCCAGGCUGUUCUCGAACUCCUGACCUCGUGAUCCCUCCGUCUCGGCUUCCCAAAGUGCUGGGAUUACGGGCGUGAGCCACCGUGCCCGGCCGCAGCCUUGUUUUGACUGAGUCAGUGGGAGCCAUUACUGUUCCUAAAUGUAAACUGGCGUGACAGGAGUUCCGGGAUUGUCCACAGCACGGUGAUGUGGAAGCCCUGGGGAGAGAAUGAUAAAGAAAGGGGAUGAGGAACAGCUCCACCCGGAAGAGCGGGCUUCCCUAGCAAAUGAAUCUGGAAGGGCGCAGGGGAGGGGGCACGGCGAGUUCAGAUGGACCGAGGCUGGAAGCUGACGCGGUUGGAGGGGGAUGGGUGUAGCUGUUGGCAGUGGCGCUGGGGUGGAAGUGUGUGGGGUCACAGAUGUGUAAGGGUGGGCGCGGAGCAGACCCCCGAAGGUCCCUGAGGUCAGGCUGAGGCAUUGGACCAAAUCCGUACAUAGGCAUUUCUCUGAACUGCGCGCCACCUUUUGAGUGCCAUCUGUUUCCGUCCAGGACUCUGAUACAACUAUCCAGUCCGCUGCAGGGACCGGUCACUGUGUCACAGUAAGUGGUGGGAUUUAAGAGGCAGUUUUCCUCCUCAUGUUCUACCAUUAUGAACGUCUAGCUUGAAAAAUACAUACCAUUUUCAUAAC